rnacentral:lncRNA from 1 species
UAACUUUUCAAAUUGUCGAAUCAAUGGAGAUUUAAUCUAUUUACUAUUGAUUGAAAUCUCUACCUUUUCUCAAAGUGGUUCAAGGAAUAUAGUGCUCAAAAUUAGAUUUUUUUAAACAUUCAUGUUCAUAAAUUUUAUUUUUGAAAGAACAAAUAGACCCUUGACCUAGUUAUAACUAUUGACAAACCGAAAAUCUUCGAUUCUUUACGUUUUGUUUGACAUAUAAAUCUUAAUCUUUUAACUAGUCAAUGAAAUCAUUUAUUCGGACAUUCAAUUUUUUCCAGUAUUUAUUAUGCUAUGUCUUUGGCAUGGUUUAUAUAUGUUUGGUGCUUGGCUGUACCGAUUACAAAGUUGUUUUGAAAUUUAAAACGAGGUACAAUAAUUUUAAUGGUGAUGGGUACGAUUUUUGUAGCUUUCCAAUCUGAUUUAAAGGACAGAUUUCACUUCUGAUAAUGUAAAUUGAAAGAAUGUUUAUAUUAAAACUUUUGAUAAUUUUACUAUUUAUAUUAGAUUUGAAAACAUUAUAUAAUAUUAAUCUGAAUUUCCCAUGGAUAUAUUGAAGUGAGAUUGAAGUUUGUCCUUUAAUUUAGCGCCGACUACAAAAAGAUUAAACACUAAGUUUGGUGUUCCAGCUAAUAAACCACACAAUUGUAUUAAAGUGCUUGCACUGUAUGCAUGAUGGAGGUAUCUUUUACAAUAUCAACAUGUCCUGAUUUCGGAUUUUAAUCCAAAUCUCGACUUCAUGGUGUGAUUAAUAACUAGUGCAAAUAUUAACUGCACAAUACGUUUAACAACCAACACUAAAUGUUUGCAAUACUAACACCAUAUAACAAUCCAUGAUUAUUGGAACAGGUUUUAUGUGAAAUAGACAAACCCAUCACUGUUUGGGGAAACAUACAUGUUACUUGCAUGUUGCCACAUGCAUGCCACAUGCACUUGAUGACUGGAUUAUCCCCCUUUUAUUUUAAAUCGAAGGGUCCACUCGUCACACCUCGGUCGAUUCGAUUCCUCCAGUUAAAGGAGAAAGACUACGACCGAGGUUUGUCGAGUUUAACGUGUUUAAAUGAGAUUAAAGUCCAGAUUUUAGUGCAUGUAGUUUUUAAAUUUUGUACGUGAGGUCUUGUGUUAAUAGACGUACGUCCUACUUUCGAUUUUUCAUAUGGACAACUUUAUUUCAAAUUUCAAGACCCCGCUUUUUGUCUACAUCGAAAUGAACAGAAACUUUAGCAUAAUACUAUUUGUCUUUCUAAGAUUUAAAAAAAUUAGUGUAGAAAUAUGUAAAUAAAAAAAACUCGACCCACUGAACUUAC